UGAGGGGCUAGACCAGGGCUUUCUCAGGCUCACCGUUUCUGGCCUGUGGCUAAACCUUUUGGCCUCUCCUCCACAUUAUCUCCAAGGAGGAAUUACACGGGAUUUAGGUCCAUUUAAGAAAGCGUCCUUCUAAUUUCCUGGGACUUAGAGCUCCUUCAGGCUCUCUCGGCGACCCCUAGUCUCUAAGUAGAAGGUGAUUUGAUUCGAGAUGCCGUUUGCUAAUUGGAACCCUCCAGCUCUUCGGUUACACAAGAAUCCAGGGCACCACCUGACCCUCUGCAAAGCCGGCUGGGUUUUUAAAAGAUAGAAAUGUGGGGCUCAGGGAGUUUAAGUGACUGGCCCUGGACGACCCAGCUUUGGUGCAGAACCCAGCUCUGAAAACUCACCUCUUCUUCCUGAGUCAUCCUAUCUUCCAAGAUUUUUGGACUCCUCUUCAAAACCAGUGUCUCCAGAACCAGCCCUUCACUGGAGGAUUCGACCAGGAUACCCCAGGGUCAAUGGAGACUGAGAACCAUCUUCUGCUUAUAGCCUGGGGUAGCUAUAGCACACUCCACACACGCUCCCCGGAACUCUCCCGAACGCCACCCACGCGGCUCCUCCAGG